rnacentral:rRNA from 1 species
UACGUAGGGGGCAAGCGUUGUCCGGAAUUAUUGGGCGUAAAGCGCGCGCAGGCGGCCUUGUAAGUCUGUCGUUUAAACUCGGAGCUCAACUUCGAGUCGCGAUGGAAACUGCAAAGCUUGAGUGCAGAAGAGGAAAGUGGAAUUCCACGUGUAGCGGUGAAAUGCGUAGAGAUGUGGAGGAACACCAGUGGCGAAGGCGACUUUCUGGGCUGUAACUGACGCUGAGGCGCGAAAGCUAGGGGAGCAAACAGG